NCAGCAAAUUGCGCGUCGACAUGUGAACUGCAGGACACAUGAACAUCGACAUUUCGAACGCACAUUGCGGUCCAUGGAUUCCGUUCCCGGACCACGCCUGGCUGAGGGUCGGUAGCUAAAA
rnacentral:rRNA from 1 species